rnacentral:rRNA from 1 species
AUCGAACGCUGGCGGCAGGCCUAACACAUGCAAGUCGAGCGAGCGGCGGACGGGUGAGUAAUGUCUGGGAAACUGCCUGAUGGAGGGGGAUAACUAAUGGAAACGGUAGCUAAUACCGCAUACCAUCAGAUGUGCCCAGAGGGGAUGGGCUAGUAGGUGGGGUAACGGCUCACCUAGGCGACGAUCCCUAGCUGGUCUGAGAGGAUGACCAGCCACACUGGAACGGAGACACGGUCCAGACUCCGACGGGAGGCAGCAGUGGGGAAUAGGGCACAAUGGGCGCAAGCCUGAUGCAGCCGUGCCGCGUGGGUGAAGAAGGCCUUCGGGUUGUAAAGCACUUUCAGCGGGGAGACGUUACCCGCAGAAGAAGCACCGGCUAACUCCGUGCCAGCAGCCGCGGUAAUUC